AGUUAGUUAACUAAGCUUUAGAUAAGCAUAUACUUUGAAAGUAUAAUAUAAUGGUUUAAUUCCAUUAUUAACUU
rnacentral:tRNA from 1 species